rnacentral:tRNA from 1 species
GCCUGUAUAGUUUAAAGGUAAAACCUUAACUUCAUACGUUAAAGAUGGGAAUUCGAUUUUCUCUUCAGGCU